GCGGGUGUAGCUCAGCUGGUAGAGCAUCGGUCUCCAAAACCGAGGGCCGUGAGUUCGAAUCUUACCGCCCGCG
rnacentral:tRNA from 1 species